ensembl:snoRNA small nucleolar RNA, H/ACA box 29
GUUCCCAUGUGACUACCACUUCAACUCUUAAUAAUAGAUUGUAGUGGCUAUGCUUGUGGGAUAGAGUGAUUUUUGCCAUGAUCUGAAGAGGGAGGUUUAUUGUGUCCUCCUCCUAUAUGAAAUGGCUGUACAGAAAAUG